rnacentral:rRNA from 1 species
AUGGAGGGAGUCAACGCGGUCGCAUCGAACGACUUGAGGCAGAGGCUUCGUCCUCCUCUUUUCAACAGGAAGAAGGGCAGCGGCGGCGCUGAGGACUCCGGCGAGCGGCAGGAGGUCUGGGGAUGGGGGAUCCAUGGCGGAGGUGGCGAGAUCCGACGGUCCUCGGCCGGAUCUGACGCGAAACGGUGGCGGAAGCUCCUGCUACUGCAGUACAGGGAGAGAGAGAUACAUGAGAGAGAAGAAAAACGAGAGAGGGAGGAGAAGGAGACAGAGAGAGACGUGGGCGCGAGGCAGUUCUUGGCGGACGGCUCACCGACGGCGCCAAACGGUGAUGGCGAAGAAAAGGCUUCAGGAGGAGCUCCUCUCCUCCUGAAUCGGGACAAGGCGCGGGGUUACGGGGGGGUGUCGUCGUCUGCGGGUGGAGGCCAAGAGGAUCAGGUGCUACAGCGCUGGGGCCUGCUGGUUUUAGUCGCCCGUGAUGGACGGGAAUGGCAGCGUCCGAGAGCUCGGGGACGAGGCGUUGAAGCUGGAAAGAGGCGGCUGUGGGAACGAGCCGCGAUGGUUGGUCGAGCACGGAAACAGAGAAGAGACUGGGGUGGCGGCGGCUAG